UACAGAGGGGGGCAAGCGUUGCUCGGAAUUACUGGGCGUAAAGGGCGCGUAGGCGGCCUGCUAAGUCGAACGUGAAAUCCCUGGGCUCAACCCAGGAACUGCGUCCGAUACUGGUUGGCUUGAAUCCGGGAGAGGGACGUGGAAUUCCAGGUGUAGCGGUGAAAAUGCGUAGAUAUCUGGAGGAACACCGGUGGCGAAGGCGACGUCCGUGACCGGCAUUGACGCUGAGGCGCGAAAGCCAGGGGAGCAAACGGG
rnacentral:rRNA from 1 species